UUUGAUCAGUCGGCUCGAGGACGACGCUGGCGGCGUUGCUUAACACAUGCAAGUCGAACGGUGAACCAGAGCUUGCUCUGGGGAUCAGUGGCGAACGGGUGAGUAACACGUGGGCAACCUGCCCCAGACUCUGGGAUAACCCCGGGAAACCGGAGCUAAUAUCGGAUAUGACCACUUCGGACAUCCGAUGGUGGUGGAAAGUUUUUCGGUCUGGGGAUGGGCCCGCGGCCUAUCAGCUAGUUGGUGGGGUAAUGGCCUACCAAGGCGACGACGGGUAGCCGGCCUGAGAGGGCGACCGGCCACACUGGAACUGAGACACGGUCCAGACUCCUACGGGAGGCAGCAGUGGGGAAUAUUGCACAAUGGGCGAAAGCCUGAUGCAGCGACGCCGCGUGAGGGACGACGGCCUUCGGGUUGUAAACCUCUUUCAGCAGGGACGAAGCGAAAGUGACUGUACCUGCAAAAGAAGCACCGGCUAACUACGUG
rnacentral:rRNA from 1 species